UGGAUAGCUCAGUUGGUUAGAGCAUGGUGCUUGAGAAUGCCACGGUUUCAGGUUCAAUCCUUGUAUGGGAAAA